CGUGUAGGCGGUUCAGUAAGUGGAAUGUGAAAUGCCCCGGCUUACCCGGGGACCUGCAUCCCAAACUGCUGGACUUGAGUACGGGAGAGGAUGAGGGAAUUCCUGGUGUAGCGGUGAAAUGCGUAGAUAUCAGGAGGAACACCGGUGGCGAAGGCGCUCAUCUGGCCCGAUACUGACGCUGAGGCGCGAAAGCUAGGGGAGCGAACGGGAUUAGAUACCCCGGUAGUCCUAGCCGUAAACGGUGAGCACUAGGUGUUGGAGGCAUCGACCCCUCCAGUGCCGCAGCUAACGCAUUAAGUGCUCCGCCUGGGGAGUACGGCCGCAAGGUUGAA
rnacentral:rRNA from 1 species